UACGUAGGGGGCAAGCGUUGUCCGGAUUUAUUGGGCGUAAAGAGCUCGUAGGCGGCUCAUUGCGUCAACCGUGAAAACCUGCCGCUCAACGGUAGGCUUGCGGUUGAUACGGGUGGGCUGGAGUUCGGUAGGGGAGACUGGAAUUCCUGGUGUAGCGGUGAAAUGCGCAGAUAUCAGGAGGAACACCGGUGGCGAAGGCGGGUCUCUGGGCCGAUACUGACGCUGAGGAGCGAAAGCGUGGGGAGCGAACAGG
rnacentral:rRNA from 1 species